rnacentral:lncRNA from 1 species
UUUGAUUCAUACUAAUUCAAUUCCAGUAAACUUCAAAAGUAGUGGUAUCUUACGGGCAUUUUAAUUUCACUUUAACAAGUGAUAAAGCCAAAAUUAAAUACAAACUCCUAAAGGCUUAGAUGAACCCCACAGGUACCCCGCAUGUAUAGUUCCAGAUUAAUCAUUUUUGAUAUUUAAACAUAUUGUUUGUAAUCUACUUAAAUAAAGGGCCCAAAAGAACACAUACUUUACUUUCUAAAACUGGUCCUCACUAUCCAGCCGCUUUCUGGAAGUCUUGUCUGGUUCACUCAAAAAUCUCUAAGGGCAAUAAUUUAAUACCUUAUCACAUGACAUCAUACCAGGUGAACCUUAACAUAGUUUCAAAUCAAGAAAGGCAACUGCCCACACUUAGAAAACAACUUCUCUAGUCAAUCACAGAGAGACAUUAAGGGCAAUUGCAAAGUUCAGAAAAUCAUACACUUUUUCUCAGCGCAUCCGCAGUGUCCGUUUGGCUAGACUCCUCCACGCCAGAGCCCAGUCUCUUCAUAUGCUGUGCUCAGUUAAACUGAACAAUUCUGAAUGAUUUGAACUCACUUUGGAAAAAAAAACAUCUUUUACUUACAUACUAUAAAAUUGGGUUUUAUUUGUCACAAGUUCAUGCUGCGGGCCCCCAUCCAAUUUAUAGUGAAGGACAGCAAGGAGCAUUUUAUCCCAGAAAGAUAAUUCAAAAAACUAGUUCUCCGUCUUGACCAUCGCCUUCAGUUUAUCCUUCACAUCCACCAUAACCAUGCUGUAUAAAAUUGCAACCCACACCUGUACCCUCAGGCCUCUUUUUUUUUGCUCAUCUUUUUCAUUUUUCAUAGCACUUAUAAUUUUCUAAAUGAUAAGUAACCACAUACGUUUACUGUCAAUCAUUCUUUUCUAGAAUGUAAGCUCCAAAGGGAAGGGAUCUUUGUUUCUCUUGUUCACUGACAUAUCUUUUUUUUAUUUUUAAAGAUUUUAUUUAUUCAUGAGGGAAACACAGAGAGAGGGAGAGAGAGAGGCAGAGAGAGAAAGAAGCAGGCCCCAUGCAGGGAGCCUGACAUGGGACUUGAUCCCUGGUCUCCAGGAUCAGGCCCUGGGCUGAAGGCAGCACUAAACCACUGAGCCACCCAGGCUGCCCUCACUGACAGAUCUUAAAUACCUGGACAGGACCUGAUGCAAAGCAGUCACUCAGUAUUUAUUGAAUGAAUGAAUGGAUCCACAAUGAGAAUUCAGUACAAACUGUAUCUGCGGUCAGAUUUCACCUUCAUUUAUGCAGUUAACAAAUGUCUCCUGUGCUCUGAAUAUGGGGGAGACAGAGCCUACACGCACGAAUACAUACCAUUGGACAGUGACGAGUGCUAUAAAGCCAAAGGGAACAAACAGGGCAAGAGGUCGGAAGGAGAGCAGUGGCUGUUUUAAAUGACUGAGUCACCUUUCUGAAGUGAUGGCAAUUGUUCUGAGCCUUGAAUUAAGACAGGUGCCAUACAUAUUUGGGUGGAGGGGGAAAAUGGGCUUUGAGCAUGGAAAAAAAAAUAGCAAAUGCCUCGCCCUAGGGUGGAGGCCCACGUGGUAAUAAGCCCAGUAAGCCCAAGGAGGCCGGCCUGGUGGAACUGGGGUAAGCAAGAAUGUAGGAUACAUAUUUGCCUUUACCUGCUACUCAGUAACCUGUAGGUAUGGAUCCAUUGAUGUAUCCACUCACACGGCCUAAUAAUGCCCCGGGCAACAGAUUACCUCUCACCUGGAGUACUCCAGCCCCCAAAUGCCUGCAUCAGCACAUCGUGUAAGAGGACCAGGCACCGUAGUGACGUGGUCAAAAACUGCUCCAAGCAGCCUCAGGAGUCACCAAACUA